ensembl:lncRNA
CAUUAAGCUCCUGAAUUUACACUCAGCUCGAUACAGAUAUGUGAAGAAUGAAGGGACCCUACAGUGAAAAGGCGAAUUGAACCACACCAACUUGGUAGAACUACAGAUCAUCUGUGACCAGCUGCAUCAGGAAGAGCAUCGAUGAUUCUUUCAAAUUGCUAGAUGUGAUUAUUUCUUCAGUCAGCUCUCUCUCUGCAACCUGUGAGACACACAAAAGAAGUGUAGAAGAAAAAAUUGGGCCUGACAUGGAGGAGACUGAGGUGCCUUGGUGGUGGGAUCCUUUGAGUAUUACCAUUGGGUUGUCAUUGUUUUUUUCAUUGUUUCUGUGUGUGGCAUCCCUGUCCCCGUCACACUGGAUAAAGGCAAAGCAGCAGCUAAUUUGGUGUGGGAUUCCACAGCUGUCUUACAGAGAUGGAGGAAGAGUUGCA